rnacentral:lncRNA from 1 species
AGCUGUCCAGAAUAACAGUGGUCCAGCCACUUUCCCUGCCCUCUGUGGGGUCUCUGCAAUGCUUGAGGAUCAGAAAAUCCAUAUAAAAAGAAGAAUCCAUCUCAGAUUAACAGGAAAGCUGUUAUCGUCAGCUUGUCCCCAGUACAAAAACUGCCCUGUAAGACAACACAUAGAAGCUGACAGCAAG